rnacentral:rRNA from 1 species
UACGAAGGGUGCUAGCGUUGUUCGGAAUUACUGGGCGUAAAGCGCACGUAGGCGGAUUGUUAAGUCAGGGGUGAAAUCCCAGAGCUCAACUCUGGAACUGCCUCUGAUACUGGCAAUCUCGAGUUCGGAAGAGGUGAGUUGAAUUCCUAGUGUAGAGGUGAAAUUCGUAGAUAUUAGGAAGAACACCAGUGGCGAAGGCGGCUCACUGGUCCGACACUGACGCUGAGGUGCGAAAGCGUGGGGAGCAAACAGG